AUCCGUCGAUUUUAGA
rnacentral:tRNA from 1 species